GAUUAACAUUGGCGGUACGCAUAACACAUGCAAGUCGUGCGAGAAAGCAGCUUCGGUUGUGAGUAAAGCGGCGAACGGGUGAGUAACACGUUGGAAUCUACCUUUAACUCAGGGAUAGCCCAUCGAAAGAUGGAUUAAUACCGGAUAGUCUCCUCGGAGUAAAGCUUCGGCGGUUAAAGAUGAGCCUGCGUCCUAUCAGCUAGUUGGCGGGGUAAUGGCCCACCAAGGCGACGAUCCGUAGCUGGUCUGAGAGGACGAUCAGUCACACUGGGACUGAGACACGGCCCAGACUCCUACGGGAGGCAGCAGUGGGGAAUCUUGCGCAAUGGGCGAAAGCCUGACGCAGCGACGCCGCGUGCGGGAAGAAGGCCUUCGGGUUGUAAACCGCUUUCAGGAGGGACGAAGCCACUCGGGUUAAUAGCCCAGAGGGUGACGGUACCUCCAGAAGAAGCCCCGGCUAACUACGUGCCAGCCGCCGCCGUAA
rnacentral:rRNA from 1 species